GCUAAAAAUCUAGCCCCACACAUCCGCAUACAAAACUACUUAUACUUACCCUCAACUAAAACAUUUACCCCACUUAGUAAAGGAGAUUGAAAAAUUACUUGGAGCUAUAAACCUAGUACCGCAAGGGAAAGAUGAAAUAAAAAUGAAAUAAACUUUAAGCAUAAAAAAGUAGAGACUAAAUCUCGUACCUUUUGCAUCAUGAUUUAACUAGUCAAAUCAAGCAAAACGAACUAAAGUUUGCCCCCCCGAAACUAAGUGAGCUACUUCAGGGCAGCUAAAUGAGCCAACCCGUCUCUGUUGCAAAAGAGUGGGAAGACCUUCAAGUAGAGGUGAUAGACCUAACGAACUUAGUGAUAGCUGGUUGCUUAAGAAAAGGAUCUUAGUCCCACCUAAAGUACCCUAAAUUACACAAAAUAAACAACUUACUUUAGAGCAAUUCUAGCAAGGUACAGCUUACUAGAAAAAGGAUACAACCUAAGCCAAUGGGUAACCCACGUGCACCUAAUUAAUAAAGUGGGCCUAAAAGCAGCCAUCUUAAAAAAGCGUCAAAGCUUAAUUAAUCACCACCACACAAUUUUUAUAUUAACAUCUACCCCUUAAACACUAUUAAGCAAUUCUACACUAUGUAGAAAUUUUUAUGUUAAAACUAGUAACAAGAAGACAAGCUUCUCUUUAAUGUAAGUGUAAAUCAGAAAGGAUAAUCCACUGAUAUUUACCGUGAUUGAAUCUAAAGUAGCAACUUAUCAAGAAAACCCUACCCUAACACACGUUAACCUAACACAAGAACAUAUCAAGAAAGAUUAAAAGAAAUAGAAGGAACUCGGCAAACUUUAACCUCGCCUGUUUACCAAAAACAUCGCCUUUUGAAAAAAUAUAAAAGGUCCAGCCUGCCCAGUGACAUUGUUCAACGGCCGCGGUAUCCUAACCGUGCGAAGGUAGCGUAAUCACUUGUUCUUUAAAUGAGGACUAGUAUGAAUGGCACCACGAGGGUUAUACUGUCUCCUAUUUUUAAUCAGUGAAACUAAUCUCCCCGUGAAGAAGCGGGGAUAAGCCUAUAAGACGAGAAGACCCUAUGGAGCUUUAAACUAAAUAACAACUGCUACUUUCAAAUACCCCAUUUCAGAAGAUUAAACUCUUAUAUUAGCACUAUGAUUAUUAGUUUUAGGUUGGGGUGACCGCGGAGUAAAAAACAACCUCCACACUGAAAGGACUACUCUCCUAAGCUUAGAGCUACAUCUCUGAGCAUCAAAAAACUGACACCAAUUGACCCAAUUUAUUGAUCAACGAACCAAGUUACCCUAGGGAUAACAGCGCAAUCUACUUCGAGAGCCCCUAUCGACAAGUAGGUUUACGACCUCGAUGUUGGAUCAGGGUAUCCCAGUGGUGCAGCCGCUACUAAAGGUUCGUUUGUUCAACGAUUAAAACCCUACGUGAUCUGAGUUCAGACCGGAGUAAUCCAGGUCAGUUUCUAUCUAUAAAGAACUUUUUCUAGUACGAAAGGACCGAAAAAAUAUGGCCAAUGUAAAUUACAAGCCAUAGCUGUUUAUUUAUGUAAAAGACUUAAUAAAACUUAGCCUACUACUUAACUCAAGAAAAGAGCA
rnacentral:rRNA from 1 species